UACGAAGGGGGCUAGCGUUGCUCGGAAUCACUGGGCGUAAAGGGCGCGUAGGCGGGCUGACAAGUCUGGGGUGAAAUGCCGCGGCUCAACCGUGGAACUGCCUCAGAUACUGUCGGCCUCGAGGAAGGUAGGGGCAUGCGGAACUGUAGGUGGAGCGGUGAAAUGCGUUGAUAUCUACAGGAACUCCGGUGGCGAAAGCGGCGUGCUGGACCUUUUCUGACGCUGAGGCGCGAAAGCUAGGGGAGCAAACGGG
rnacentral:rRNA from 1 species